UCAGUGAAGCAGGAGGGGGAGGAGGUGUGCCAAAGGAGGGGGAGGAGGUUGAUGUCCCUGUAGCCCAUGGUGAGACAUCAGGCUGUCCCCCUGAAGCCCAUGGAGGUGAGCAGGGGAGCAGAUGCCCACCUGCAGCCCGUGGAGGACCCCGCACCGGAGCAGGUGGAUUCCCCUGAAGAUGGCCGUGACUCCAUGGGAGAGCCAGCACUGGAGCAGCCUGUGCCUCAAGAUCUGUGGCCCAUGGAAAGAACCCAUGGCAGAGAAGUUUGUGAAGGACUGUCUCCCAUGGGAGGGACCCCACACUGGAGCAGGGGACAAGUGAGGAAUCCUGCCCCUGAGGAGGAAGGAGCGGCAGAGACAGCGUGUGAUGAAUUGACCUGAACCCCCAUUCCCUGUACUUCC